CAAUUGUUGCGGCUGCCCACCAAAUUCUUGUCAUAAAAUAAGGAAAUCGGACACCAGACAUAUGGCGGAGGCAGCCAAUGUACGUCAGAAUCUGCAGAAUGUGCCGUCGAUCUUUGAAAUAUCAGCAGCUGAGACGCUGGACAACCUUAUCUAUCCAGCGCUGAGCAAAGUUUUCGAUUACUUUGGCCUGCGUUUGGACUUUAAGCUUUGGGGCAACAUACGCGUACGCGAAGAGCUAUCGCCGCUUAUUACAUGGAUCCUACAGUAUUUGUAUUUGCGCAAACGUGCCUCCUCCUUCGGCGAAAGCUUCUACGGGCUGCAACGAACUGCCAGCAGCACCGGAGAGCUGCUCACCCGCCGGCAACAGUUCAGCUCCGCGACGCUGUUGACUCUGCUGCCCUAUGUCGAGCGCAAGCUGCGAGCGCGCAGCGCUCAGCAUGAGGACACCUAUGCCUGGGAGUCGCAGCUGAUUAAUCUGUUCCAUGUCUAUAACGCCUCCAAGGCGGUGCACACAUUCCUGUACCUAAUCAAAUAUGCGUCCAGCCACUCGCCGCUGUUUCGUGCGCUGCGCCUGACGCUGCGCUAUCCCAGCGAACCGCCCCAGGAGGACAAGUGGACGUACUUGUUCCUCAAACUGCUCGAAGUGCUGGCCUUCUUCCUGCAGUUCAUACAGUGGUGGUACUCGAACGAUCAGCGCCGCAAGCUGGGCGGCACACUACAAAAUCCGGAGCCCCUGCCGGAACGUGAACUGCCCCAGGAGCUGAGGGAAACAUUGCCAAAGAGCGGCGAAUGCCCCGUUUGUUUGCUGCCGCUGCAAACGCCAACAGCGUGCGCUGUAUCCGGCUAUGUCUAUUGCUGGAAAUGCAUUGUGAUGCAUCUCAAAGAGAAGGGCACAUGCCCCGUGACCAGCUAUCCCAUUACCAUUGAGGAUCUGACUUUCAGUUCCAAAACAAUUAGGCGUCUGCCAAAUAGCAACCAAAAUUGAGGCACAGAUUGACAUGAUGGAAAUCCAGAUACGAUGUCCAUAUAUGGCACGCUAUAGACAGGGUCAACGUGUAUUCACAAAACGAAAAAACCGAAUAGGCUCACACAGUGAGACGGGAGUUAAGGGAAGACGGACAAUAUUUGAAAGAUAAAGAACCAAUUAGAAGCAAGUUUUCUUAUUAGAACUUUAAUAUCUGAGGUACUCGUGUACGGUCUAAUGCCAUAUAUGUCCAAUUGGUCAUGUCUUUUCUU
rnacentral:misc_RNA from 1 species